AUGGAGAAAACGGUGCAUCUUGUGGCUUGUGAGGUUAGGGUUGAAUUUGUGUCUCCAACAUUGUCUUCUGAUCAACACCAUCGCGCUUUUAGUUUUUCUUCAAUUCAAUUCCCUUAUUCUUCGAUCAAUUCAGACACAGUUGUGGCUUCCUCCUCUUCAUCGAGAACUGCCGCCAUCAUCAACUCCAGAAUACAACGCGAUCAAUGCCUCUUUCGCUCAGCUGUGAUGUCUUCUCUCAUCUCUAAAUCUGAUCUCAUAAUACUCAUCACUCAAGUCCACUGA